rnacentral:miRNA from 1 species
AUGUGUAUAUAUAUAUAUGUGUGUGUAUAUAUAUAUAUAUAUAUAUAUAUAUAUACACGUAUAUAUAUAUAUAUAUAUACACACAUAUAUAUAUAUAUACACACAUAUAUAUA